rnacentral:rRNA from 1 species
UGACUGAGUGGCGGACGGGUGAGUAACGCGUGGGUAACCUGCCUUGCACAGGGGGAUAACAGUUAGAAAUGACUGCUAAUACCGCAUAACCCGCUAGUACCGCAUGGUACGGACGGAAAAGAUUUAUCGGUGUAAGAUGGACCCGCGUCUGAUUAGCUAGUUGGUGAGGUAACGGCUCACCAAGGCGACGAUCAGUAGCCGGCUUGAGAGAGUGAUCGGCCACAUUGGGACUGAGACACGGCCCAAACUCCUACGGGAGGCAGCAGUGGGGAAUAUUGCACAAUGGGGGAAACCCUGAUGCAGCGACGCCGCGUGAGUGAAGAAGUAUUUCGGUAUGUAAAGCUCUAUCAGCAGGGAAGAAAAUGACGGUACCUGACUAAGAAGCCCCGGCUAACUACGUGCCAGCAGCCGCGGUAAUACGUAGGGGGCAAGCGUUAUCCGGAUUUACUGGGUGUAAAGGGAGCGUAGGUGGUCUGGUAAGUCAGAUGUGAAAACCCGGGGCUUAACUCCGGGAUUGCAUUUGAAACUGUUAGACUAGAGUGCAGGAGAGGUAAGUGGAAUUCCUAGUGUAGCGGUGAAAUGCGUAGAUAUUAGGAGGAACACCAGUGGCGAAGGCG